UCCGGCUUAUCACCGGCAGUCCCCCUAGAGUGCCCAACUAAAUGAUGGCAACUAAGGGCGAGGGUUGCGCUCGUUGCGGGACUUAACCCAACAUCUCACGACACGAGCUGACGACAGCCAUGCAGCACCUGUGUUACGGUUCUCUUUCGGGCGCUCUUCCAUCUCUGGAAGAUUCCGUACAAGUCAAGGGUAGGUAAGGUUUUUCGCGUUGCAUCGAAUUAAUCCACAUAAUCCACCGCUUGUGCGGGUCCCCGUCAAUUCCUUUGAGUUUUAAUCUUGCGACCGUACUCCCCAGGCGGACAACUUCACGCGUUAGCUGCGGUACUGAGAAAUCGCUUCCCCAACACCUAGUUGUCAUCGUUUAGGGCGUGGACUAC
rnacentral:misc_RNA from 1 species